GGUACUACCUAUAUCAACAAGAUGUGUCUUUGUUUGGUAGCCCAUUCCAUAAGAACUCCACAGUUAAGCGUGUUUGACUUGGAGUAGUCUUUGGAUGGGUGACUUACCGGGAAACUCCAGAAAGUUUGUUUCC
rnacentral:rRNA from 1 species